rnacentral:lncRNA from 1 species
GAAACAGAAGAAUUGGAGAAGUACAACUACACUCUCACUCCUUACACCAAUAAGACCUGCGAACCGUCUAACACCAAACAAAGGUCAAACAUCAGUCCAUAAUCCAAAACCCUCAAGUUUGACCCAAGGUCAAACUGGUCAAAGGUCAACGGUUACCAAAUUCAAAGGCCACCACACCGUGGCCAAUUUAGACAAAAUAGACGUAACAAAACCCACCACCAUAUGGUGGCGAACCAUCCACCACAUUAUGGUGCACUCCCACAACAACAUAAUGGAUUAAGCACUUAACCCUUCCUCGUCAGAGAUCAAAAUCUCAUAUCUGAUGCCUCUAAUGGUCUUAAUGGAUAAUGUUUCCAAUUUUAUCCCUUAUCAUGUCUCAAAUGCAUGCAAACUCCAAACCUAACUUCUAAAUGAACCAAAACACAAGCUUGUCCUCAAGAGAGAACAUGCAAACACACAUUUCUUCCCAUAUUCAAGUCCAGAAAUCAUGUGGGUCACUCAAAGGUCCUGGAAUUGCUCAACUCCAAGGAUAUCCAAGGAAUGGACUCAAAACUACUCAAAGUGUGCAUAACUUAAAUAUAUUAAAGCAAAGGUCAAGUUAUGGACUUUAUACCUCAAAGGAUUCAAAGAUCUAAAGUUGAUGAUGGAUCUAUGCUAACUCCUUGCCUCCUUGCACCAAGAUGAAGUCCCUUCUUCCUCAAGCUUCACAAAAUUAAGAGGACAAGCUAAAAAACAAGAGAAAAAGCUCAACCAUUGAGCAUGAGGGAUAGGGUUUCGAUUCCAAAAGAGGAUAAAAACUAGGAAUAAAACACAAGUUGUAACCACAUACAUCUUUAGUUUUCUUGCUUUAUCUUGCAAACUGCCCAAUUUCACCUUAUGUUUGUUGAUUGUUCUCAACAACCCCUGUACCACAACAGUUGAUCAUUGACAUAUAUGUAUAUCAAUGCAACCAAUAAUUCCAAAUCAAGAAUCCUACCUAAGUAUAAAAAAAGUAAAAGGAUUGAGCUACAAUCGAAUUAAAACCCUUACCCUAUUUUGAUUUUUGUAACUUGUUUAAGGUAUGCGUGGAAUCAACGAUUAUGGUUUAGUGAAGUCCAGGACGUUCACGCUUUACAAAAAACAAAGGACCAUUGUUAAAGGAGUGGAGAAGAAAAACAAUAACGAGAAAGAAA